rnacentral:rRNA from 1 species
UACGGGGGGGGCAAGCGUUGUUCGGAAUUACUGGGCGUAAAGGGCUCGUAGGCGGCCAACUAAGUCAGACGUGAAAUCCCCAGGCUUAACCUGGGAACUGCGUCUGAUACUGGAUGGCUUGAGUUCGGGAGAGGGAUGCGGAAUUCCAGGUGUAGCGGUGAAAUGCGCAGAUAUCAGGAGGAACACCAAUGGCGAAGGCAGCACUCUGGGACGUGACUGACGCUGAGACGCGAAAGCGUGGGGAGCAAACAGG